ensembl:miRNA MIR532 microRNA mir-532
UUGCUUUCUCUCUUACAUGCCUUGAGUGUAGGACCGUUGGCAUCUGAAUACCCUCCCACACCCAAGGCUUGCAGGAGGGC